GACGAACGCUGGCGGCGUGCCUAAUACAUGCAAGUUGAGCGCUUAAGGUUGGUACUUGUACCGACUGGAUGAGCAGCGAACGGGUGAGUAACGCGUGGGGAAUCUGCCUUUGAUCGGUGGACAACAUUUGGAAACGAAUGCUAAUACCGCAUAAAAACUUUAAACACAAGUUUUAAGUUUGAAAGAUGCAAUUGCAUCACUCAAAGAUGAUCCCGCGUUGUAUUAGCUAGUUGGUGAGGUAAAGGCUCACCAAGGCGAUGAUACAUAGCCGACCUGAGAGGGUGAUCGGCCAAAUUGGGACUGAGAAAAGGCACAAACUACUACGGGAGGCAGCAGUAGGGAAUCUUCGGAAAUGGACGAAAGUCUGACCGAGCAACGCCGCGUGAGUGAAGAAGGGUUUCGGAUCGGAAAACUCUGUUGGUAGAGAAGAACGUUGGUGAGAGUGGAAAGCUCAUCAAGUGACGGUAACUACACAGAAAGGGACGGCUAACUACGUG
rnacentral:rRNA from 1 species